GGAUCCUUCCCUUUGGAGUUUUCUACUGUAAGCUUAGGACAUGGAGGAAUGACCAUCCAGUAGUGCUUCCCCUGUCCUUAACAGGAUUCCAGGAAGUAGAGAAAAACAAGCAGUCAGAGAUGAGAAAUCAUCCCUCGCAUUCCCAAUAAGCCUUGGCCUUUCCAGUGAUGCAGAGGGCAAUUACUGUAAUCUUUACUCUCUAUAAAGUGCAGGAGAGAUGUCAGCAGUCACCCGUGACAAGGAUAAAGCAGGACAGGCAAUGUGGCAACUGAAGAGAAAAAGCUGUAAUGCCAUAGCAAAUGUAUCUACUGCUAUUAUUUGCUCUCAUGAGUGGAAAUUAAAAUUAAAAAAGCA
ensembl:lncRNA